rnacentral:rRNA from 1 species
GAUGAACGCUGGCGGCGUGCCUAAUACAUGCAAGUCGAGCGAACAGACGAGGAGCUUGCUCCUCUGACGUUAGCGGCGGACGGGUGAGUAACACGUGGAUAACCUACCUAUAAGACUGGGAUAACUUCGGGGAACCGGAGCUAAUACCGGAUAAUAUAUUGAACCGCAUGGUUCAAUAGUGAAAGACGGUUUUGCUGUCACUUAUAGAUGGAUCCGCGCCGCAUUAGCUAGUUGGUAAGGUAACGGCUUACCAAGGCAACGAUGCGUAGCCGACCUGAGAGGGUGAUCGGCCACACUGGAACUGAGACACGGUCCAGACUCCUACGGGAGGCAGCAGGAGGGAAUCUUCCGCAAUGGGCGAAAGCUUGACGGAGCAACGCCGCGUGAGUGAUGAAGGUCUUCGGAUCGUAAAACUCUGUUAUUAGGGAAGAACAAAUGUGUAAGUAACUAUGCACGUCUUGACGGUACCUAAUCAGAAAGCCACGGCUAACUACGU